CUGCGGAAGGAUCAUUACUGAGUGAGGGCCCUCUGGGUCCAACCUCCCACCCGUGUUUAUUGUACCUUGUUGCUUCGGUGCGCCCGCCUCACGGCCGCCGGGGGGCUUCUGCCCCCGGGUCCGCGCGCACCGGAGACACUAUUGAACUCUGUCUGAAGAUUGCAGUCUGAGCAUAAACUAAAUAAGUUAAAACUUUCAACAACGGAUCUCUUGGUUCCGGCAUCGAUGAAGAACGCAGCGAAAUGCGAUAACUAAUGUGAAUUGCAGAAUUCAGUGAAUCAUCGAGUCUUUGAACGCACAUUGCGCCCCCUGGUAUUCCGGGGGGCAUGCCUGUCCGAGCGUCAUUGCUGCCCUCAAGCACGGCUUGUGUGUUGGGCUCCGUCCCCCCGGGGACGGGUCCGAAAGGCAGCGGCGGCACCGAGUCCGGUCCUCGAGCGUAUGGGGCUUUGUCACCCGCUCUGUAGGCCCGGCCGGCGCCAGCCGACAACCAAUCAUCCUUUUUUCAGGUUGACCUCGGAUCAGGUAGGGAUACCCGCUGAACUUAAGCAUAUCAAUAAGCGGGAGGA
rnacentral:rRNA from 1 species